AGUACAAUACAACUUUUGUGCAGAAUAUAAUUUAAGAUAACCAAACGAGAAUUAAAUCAAGCUAGAUAACUGACAUAUGCUUGCACAAGGCUUCCUGUUCUUUGUACACAUGCUCAUAUAGACGUUUGAACGCUUGUACAAAGCAUGCAUAAUCGAAAUACUAUCAAGCAUCAAGCUGCUUGUACAGUCCUAAUGCUUGUGCAGAUUUUUUGUACACACGCGUAAGCAUGUUUGGGCCAGUACACUUCCUUGCUUGUCGAACAUGUAGUUAUUGGUGUGGGGUCACAUUAAAACGUAAUCCGAGUAUGACGUAAAUCUGAGUAAUGUUGCAAACCCCUUGAAGAAAUUUGCAACUGUUUUGCCAUAGAAAAGUUUGUAGAACUGCAUUUUACAGCAUCGAAAUUGUACUGGAUCGUACGCAAGGAUGUUAAUGGAAUGUGAAAUAAUAGUUUGGCACGUGCGUAUGAGUUUUGUUGGUAUAUAAUGGAUCAUUGUGCUGCAGCAUUUUGUAUAACUAGGCUAGCGACUAGAAGAUACAGCGAAUCACGCGUUUUACUGUUUUUGUGCCUUACAAUGAUGUUUGGUUUGUGUUCCACGAACUGUACUGAGCUUGAAAACCAUUAGUACUGACAACUUUUUGUUGUGCCAAUCAGCGACUCAGCAUCUCCGCUCUAUGUUACAGAAGCGCACACCUAAUUUUAGAUUCGAUGAAGACACAUUUUGGAGGGUGUCAUGAUUCCUGCAGAAUGUCAAAUGAAAAUUUUUGCAUAUGUGCUAUCGAAAGUGAAGAGUUGGUAGCGAAACAGAAUACCAAGUGGAGAAAGACGAUUGCACCAAAUUUUCGACUUGCCAGUACCCUCAGAUUUCUGGCAGCAGGAGACAGUUUUAAAAGCCUUCAGUACCUAAUUACAGUUUCGUCACAGAUUUUUUCGAGUAUAGGUCCAGAGGUUUGCAGUGACACUAUUAAAGUGCUGCAAGGAAAUGGAAAGGUAAACAUUUUGUGUUGGAGAAUGUGUUUCUCAAAACAAGUUUGUAUAAGUGAUGCUAAUAUCAUAAACAAUGAAUUUUCGGCAAUAAAUGGCGAAUGUGUAGAAAUCAUGAUGGCAGAGUAGUUUGAAAGUGGUGUUGAGAUUUCCUGGUGAGAUGUAGAGUUAACCAAAGAUCCAUUUUCAUUGUUCAGUUUACUAAAUGCUGAUAACACCAAAUUUUACAUCCGUGACUCUGUUGACAAUGUAUACAUUUUUUACAGUUACAAAUAUUUUACAUUCAUGUUAAAUGAUGUUUACACAGUGACUUUUGGAUAAGCUAUUGCUCAAGGCAGUUUUUAUACUCAUCUCUUGUCAAUAUCUUAAUUUUAUUUAUUUAUUUAUUUAUUAUCAUCCCAAUGAUCACAUUUGUGAUAUAGGAUUUGUCAGGGUACAUUUUAACAACUAUAUAAUAUCUUUACAAAAUUUGUAUCUGUGCUGAAUUCAUACUAAUCUAUCUUAUGUUUAAUAAAAUAUACAACUAAUAAGUGUUUUUAUAACAUAAUUUAUUAUGCACUGAUGUAAUUUCAUUUGUCACAUUAACUUGCUAACAAAUUAGAGGUUUUUUGCUGGUAAUUUACUGUGAACCAAGUGGAAGUCCUUUUGUGCCUUGGAUCAUGAAUGUUAAUUUCUAUGUUCAUAUUUGUGAUCUUGGUAUCUUCUUUCACUAGCAUAAUGGUCUCCAACAUAUAAAUGGUGCAAACUGAAAGAAUAUCUUGUGAAUAACCUUUUGCGGGAGGUUUCUUUCUUUUACUUUUGCUAUGAUCCUCAAGGCCCCCUUCUGUAACAAGAAAACCCUUUUUGUAUUGCUGUGGCAAGUUUGACACACAGAGAACUAUUUCAUAAAAUAAGGAAGGGUAACUUCAUCCGAAAUAUAUAAUCUUUGGGGAUCAUUAGCUGCAAUUUACUGAAAUUAUACCGAAGAUAAUGCACACAUUUUUGUGGUAUUAGUCUUUGUUUUUGCUUGUAAUGAGAAAAAAAUUGCCGCACCAUUUAAUUUUCAGGUCAUCUGCUCCAUUAACAUUUUUGGAUAAUUAUUUGCAACAGCACUGCUGCUUGAAGGCAACAUUAAUGCUGCUACAAAAAUAGCAUAAAAUUGUUGCAUUUACUCAUUGAAAUUACUAUAGCAGUAGCUUGUAUGCUUAACACUGCCAUACUGUUAUCCUGUAGUUUGUCAUUCUCCAAUGGUCUAAAACAUGACAAUAUCAGUAAAUCACCCAUAAUGUUCCGUGUUUCAGAUGCCAAAAACAUGGACAGAAUGGACGAGAGUUGCAACAACAUGUGAAAAUCUUUGAAAUUUUCUCCAUUUUGCAUUGGUGCCCCUGGAUAGACACUGUAGCUGUACAGGCCCCUGCUAACAUGGAUGUGAAUUUUAGUUAUAAACACAGCACAAAUACAUUUGGGCUAUUGGUCAAUGUAUUUAAAGUGCUUCGGAAACCAAUGCUGCUUCAGCUAGAUAAAAGGUGAGGGUUGCCCAGAAAGUAAUGUUGACAACAAUGCUACCUGUGCGAAACAUUACAUAUAUACUAUUUGAAAUCUCCUAAGUGAGUACACCACAUUUGUCACUUCAGACAGCAUAUCUGCAGGGCAGUUUCAAAAUGGUGUCUACAGGUGAUGUACAGUACAAGCAACAUGCAGUUAUUGAAUUUCUCACUGCAGAGAAAGAAACUGUGGGGAAUAUUAACAAAUGCAUGUACAAUGUCAGUGAAACAUUUGCUGUCGAUAGAAGUACAGUUGGUCACUGGGCACAGAGGGUGAGGUCAUCAGAAGGCAGUUUGGCAGAGAUCCACUAUUUGCAGCGGUCAAGGAGACCAUCCACGGCUGUAACACCUGACAUGUUGCAGCGAGUUGCUGAUGUCAUUCACGAGGACGGGCGCAUUACAACUUAGUAGUUGGCGCUGCAUCUGUCAGUCACCAAAGGAUGUGUGGAUGCAGUUAUCUGUACUCAUAGAUAUUCAAAAGUGUGUAAAACAUGGGGUCUCACGAGGUCUAACGGUAGAUCACAAACUGCACAGAAAAAACAUUUGUCUCGAUUUGUUGCAAAAUUUUGAUGCUGAGGGGAAGCCUUCUUGCCCUGUAUUGCGACAGGUGAUGAAACCUGGGUUCUCCAUUUUUAGCCCGAAACAAAAUGACUCUUGAUGGAAUGGCAACAUUCCCACACCCCACAGAAGAAAAAAUUCAAAGCAACUGCUUCUGCUGGUAAGGUUAUGAUCGCCAUGUUCUGGGACUGUAGAGGUGUGAUUCUUAUUGGUGUGUUGCCAAGAGGCAGUACAUUUAAUUCAGAAGCAUAUGUCAACACAUUAACAAAACCCAAGCUGCGCUUCCGGUGACUUCAGUACCAUAGCAACCCAGGAGACGUUUUGCUGCAACAUGAUAACACUUGGUCCCAUACAAGUCUGAGGACUGCUGAACAGAUCGCAAAACGGGGUUGGACAGUUUAUCCCAUCCACCCUGCAGCCCCUCGGGUUUCCACUUGUUUGGACCAUUAAUGGAUGUCAUUCAUGGAAGACAUUUUUAGGAUGAUGAGGAUGUGAUUCACAUAGUGAAGCAUCCGGCUGUACUACCAGGACAAGGAUUGGUACCAACACGGCAUACGCGCUCUUGUUUCGCGCUGGAAGCCAUAGAACAGGAUGGAGAUUACAUGGAAAAAUAGGGUGUGUAGAUAAAACACCAUUCUUUCGUGUGUGUAAUUCUCAUUAUGUUCAAUAAAGAAUUGUUGAAGGGAAAAAAAUGUGGUGCAUUAGUUUCUGGGCAACUCUCAUGCUAUAGAGGGUUCAUGGUGUCAGAUGGAUAAUGACUGGACAUCACUAUUAAUGUUAAGAAAUAUCCCAAGGAAGACUGGACUUGAAGCAGAAAUGAAUUUGCUGAGCACUAGUUAACUAUUAGAAAAAUACCAUGGGAAAACAAUUGCAGCCACUGUCAAUGUAGACUAUUUGUUCUGUAUAAUUUCAUUACCCAAAUAAAAAUGGGUCACAAUAGUUAACUUUUGUGUUACAACAAAUGUGGACUUACCAUAUGUUGUUUGUGCCCUGACAUUUCCUUAACCAAAUAAAAAUUGGUCAAAAUGGUUAA